GACGAACGCUGGCGGCGUGCCUAACACAUACAAGUCGAGCGAAUGAAGUUCCUUCGGGAACGGAUUUAGCGGCGGACGGGUGAGUAACACGUGGGCAACCUGCCUCAUAGAGAGGAAUAGCCUUCCGAAAGGGAGAUUAAUACCGCAUAAGAUUGUAGUACCGCAUGGUACAGCAAUUAAAGGAGCAAUCCGCUAUGAGAUGGGCCCGCGGCGCAUUAGCUAGUUGGUGAGGUAACGGCUCACCAAGGCGACGAUGCGUAGCCGACCUGAGAGGGUGAUCGGCCACAUUGGGACUGAGACACAGCCCAGACUCCUACGGGAGGCAGCAGUGGGGAAUAUUGCACAAUGGGGGAAACCCUGAUGCAGCAACGCCGCGUGAGUGAUGACGGCCUUCGGGUUGUAAAGCUCUGUCUUCAGGGACGAUAAUGACGGUACCUGAGGAGGAAGCCACGGCUAACUACGUGCCAGCCGCCGCCGUAA
rnacentral:rRNA from 1 species